AGCGUUAAUCGGAAUUACUGGGCGUAAAGCGUGCGUAGGUGGUUUGUUAAGCAAGAUGUGAAAGCCCCGGGCUCAACCUGGGAAACUGCAUUUUGAACUGGCAAACUAGAGUUUUGUAGAGGGGUAGUGGAAUUUCCAGUGUAGCCGGUGAAACGCGUAGAGAUUGGAAGGAACAUCAGUGGCGAAGGCGGCUACCUGGACAGAGACUGACACUGAGGCACGAAAGCGUGGGGAGCAAACAGGAUUAGAUACCCUGGUAGUCCACGCCGUAAACGAUGUCAACUAGCCGUCUGUAGACUUGAUCUGUGGGUGGCGUAGCUAACGCGCUAAGUUGACCGCCUGGGGAGUACGGCCGCAAGUUAAAACUCAAAUGAAUGACGG
rnacentral:rRNA from 1 species